rnacentral:rRNA from 1 species
UGGGAAUAUUGCACAAUGGGCGAAAGCCUGAUGCAGCAACGCCGCGUGAGUGAUGAAGGUCUUCGGAUUGUAAAGCUCUGUCUUUUGGGACGAUAAUGACGGUACCAAAGGAGGAAGCCACGGCUAACUACGUGCCAGCAGCCGCGGUAAUACGUAGGUGGCGAGCGUUGUCCGGAUUUACUGGGCGUAAAGGGUGCGUAGGCGGAUGUUUAAGUGAGAUGUGAAAUACC